rnacentral:rRNA from 1 species
AUACGUAGGGGGCGAGCGUUGUCCGGAUUUAUUGGGCGUAAAGGGUGCGUAGGCGGCCUUGUAAGUCAGAUGUGAAAGAUCAUGGCUUAACUGUGGUAAGCAUUUGAAACUGCAGGGCUUGAGUACAGGAGAGGAGAGUGGAAUUCCUAGUGUAGCGGUGAAAUGCGUAGAUAUUAGGAGGAAUACCAGUGGCGAAGGCGACUCUCUGGACUGAUACUGACGCUGAGGCACGAAAGCGUGGGGAGCAAACAGGAUUAGAUACCCUGGUAGUCCACGCUAUAAACGAUGAGUGCUAGGUGUCGGGGGUCAAACCUCGGUGCCGCAGUUAACACAUUAAGCACUCCGCCUGGGAAGUACGCUCGCAAGAGUGAAACUUAAAGGAAUUGACGGGG